rnacentral:rRNA from 1 species
AGCGUACACGGUGGAUGCCCUGGCAGUCAGAGGCGAUGAAGGACGUGCUAAUCUGCGAUAAGCGUCGGUAAGGUGAUAUGAACCGUUAUAACCGGCGAUUUCCGAAUGGGGAAACCCAGUGUGAUUCGUCACACUAUCAUUAACUGAAUCCAUAGGUUAAUGAGGCGAACCGGGGGAACUGAAACAUCUAAGUACCCCGAGGAAAAGAAAUCAACCGAGAUUCCCCCAGUAGCGGCGAGCGAACGGGGAGCAGCCCAGAGCCUGAAUCAGUGUGUGUGUUAGUGGAAGCGUCUGGAAAGGCGCGCGAUACAGGGUGACAGCCCCGUACACAAAAAUGCACAUGCUGUGAGCUCGAUGAGUAGGGCGGGACACGUGGUAUCCUGUCUGAAUAUGGGGGGACCAUCCUCCAAGGCUAAAUACUCCUGACUGACCGAUAGUGAACCAGUACCGUGAGGGAAAGGCGAAAAGAACCCCGGCGAGGGGAGUGAAAAAGAACCUGAAACCGUGUACGUACAAGCAGUGGGAGCACAGAGCAAUCUGUGUGACUGCGUACCUUUUGUAUAAUGGGUCAGCGACUUAUAUUCUGUAGCAAGGUUAACCGAAUAGGGGAGCCGAAGGGAAACCGAGUCUUAACUGGGCGUUAAGUUGCAGGGUAUAGACCCGAAACCCGGUGAUCUAGCCAUGGGCAGGUUGAAGGUUGGGUAACACUAACUGGAGGACCGAACCGACUAAUGUUGAAAAAUUAGCGGAUGACUUGUGGCUGGGGGUGAAAGGCCAAUCAAACCGGGAGAUAGCUGGUUCUCCCCGAAAGCUAUUUAGGUAGCGCCUCGUGAAUUCAUCUCCGGGGGUAGAGCACUGUUUCGGCAAGGGGGUCAUCCCGACUUACCAACCCGAUGCAAACUGCGAAUACCGGAGAAUGUUAUCACGGGAGACACACGGCGGGUGCUAACGUCCGUCGUGAAGAGGGAAACAACCCAGACCGCCAGCUAAGGUCCCAAAGUCAUGGUUAAGUGGGAAACGAUGUGGGAAGGCCCAGACAGCCAGGAUGUUGGCUUAGAAGCAGCCAUCAUUUAAAGAAAGCGUAAUAGCUCACUGGUCGAGUCGGCCUGCGCGGAAGAUGUAACGGGGCUAAACCAUGCACCGAAGCUGCGGCAGCGACGCUUAUGCGUUGUUGGGUAGGGGAGCGUUCUGUAAGCCUGUGAAGGUGUGCUGUGAGGCAUGCUGGAGGUAUCAGAAGUGCGAAUGCUGACAUAAGUAACGAUAAAGCGGGUGAAAAGCCCGCUCGCCGGAAGACCAAGGGUUCCUGUCCAACGUUAAUCGGGGCAGGGUGAGUCGACCCCUAAGGCGAGGCCGAAAGGCGUAGUCGAUGGGAAACAGGUUAAUAUUCCUGUACUUGGUGUUACUGCGAAGGGGGGACGGAGAAGGCUAUGUUGGCCGGGCGACGGUUGUCCCGGUUUAAGCGUGUAGGCUGGUUUUCCAGGCAAAUCCGGAAAAUCAAGGCUGAGGCGUGAUGACGAGGCACUACGGUGCUGAAGCAACAAAUGCCCUGCUUCCAGGAAAAGCCUCUAAGCAUCAGGUAACAUCAAAUCGUACCCCAAACCGACACAGGUGGUCAGGUAGAGAAUACCAAGGCGCUUGAGAGAACUCGGGUGAAGGAACUAGGCAAAAUGGUGCCGUAACUUCGGGAGAAGGCACGCUGAUAUGUAGGUGAAGUCCCUCGCGGAUGGAGCUGAAAUCAGUCGAAGAUACCAGCUGGCUGCAACUGUUUAUUAAAAACACAGCACUGUGCAAACACGAAAGUGGACGUAUACGGUGUGACGCCUGCCCGGUGCCGGAAGGUUAAUUGAUGGGGUCAGCGCAAGCGAAGCUCUUGAUCGAAGCCCCGGUAAACGGCGGCCGUAACUAUAACGGUCCUAAGGUAGCGAAAUUCCUUGUCGGGUAAGUUCCGACCUGCACGAAUGGCGUAAUGAUGGCCAGGCUGUCUCCACCCGAGACUCAGUGAAAUUGAACUCGCUGUGAAGAUGCAGUGUACCCGCGGCAAGACGGAAAGACCCCGUGAACCUUUACUAUAGCUUGACACUGAACAUUGAGCCUUGAUGUGUAGGAUAGGUGGGAGGCUUUGAAGUGUGGACGCCAGUCUGCAUGGAGCCGACCUUGAAAUACCACCCUUUAAUGUUUGAUGUUCUAACGUGGACCCGUGAUCCGGGUUGCGGACAGUGUCUGGUGGGUAGUUUGACUGGGGCGGUCUCCUCCUAAAGAGUAACGGAGGAGCACGAAGGUUGGCUAAUCCUGGUCGGACAUCAGGAGGUUAGUGCAAUGGCAUAAGCCAGCUUGACUGCGAGCGUGACGGCGCGAGCAGGUGCGAAAGCAGGUCAUAGUGAUCCGGUGGUUCUGAAUGGAAGGGCCAUCGCUCAACGGAUAAAAGGUACUCCGGGGAUAACAGGCUGAUACCGCCCAAGAGUUCAUAUCGACGGCGGUGUUUGGCACCUCGAUGUCGGCUCAUCACAUCCUGGGGCUGAAGUAGGUCCCAAGGGUAUGGCUGUUCGCCAUUUAAAGUGGUACGCGAGCUGGGUUUAGAACGUCGUGAGACAGUUCGGUCCCUAUCUGCCGUGGGCGCUGGAGAAUUGAGGGGGGCUGCUCCUAGUACGAGAGGACCGGAGUGGACGCAUCACUGGUGUUCGGGUUGUCAUGCCAAUGGCACUGCCCGGUAGCUAAAUGCGGAAGAGAUAAGUGCUGAAAGCAUCUAAGCACGAAACUUGCCCCGAGAUGAGUUCUCCCUGACUCCUUGA